UUUCGUGACCUUGUACCAAGGUAUUGGUUGCAGGGAGCGUUUUGCCUUUAACUUGUUGAUUCGUAAUGCCUGUUAGGUUAGCUCUCGUCAAUGGUGAUUGAGUCUGGGACUAGGUUAACUUGAGAGUCUCUGUUGCGGUGGCACUUAGAUUUGGUUAAUGAACUUGUUGUCUAGGGUUAAUUUAUUGAGCAUGUCAAUCACCUGUAAACUGAGGAAACGAAACUACUCAAUUACCCCAUCCUCGGGAAUUCUUUAUCUGAUUGAAUUCUUUGUUUACUCUACUGUUGUUUACUGCAUCUUGUCAUCUGUCGCUUAGUUUCUGCAAUUCUUUACUGUUACUCGACCUGAUACUCGACCACCCAGUUGUCUGGCAACAGACUGUGCAGUCGAGUACCCCACCCAGUGCUCUGCAACGAGUUGUGUUGGUCGAGUGUUUAUUUGUUUUUGCUUGACUUUGUGUUUUCUGCAUGUUCACUUAGGACUGCUAGAACGCACCAAAACCUAUUAUUGCUUGGCUUGACUUAGUGACUUCUGAUCACAUCUUGAUUGUUAGCAUCACACCCAUUUGUAUUGACAACCUAAAAUACUACAACGAUAUGAUUGGUGUUUUAGGAUAAUUGACUAAAAACCUAUUAUCAAUUUGGCGUCGUUGCCAAUUGGGUGUUUGUUUGUUAAAUUUGAGAUUUCAGACUUGCUUAGAUCAAGUUCUUUUUCAAUUUUCAGUUCAGUUACUGACUAUGUGUUUUUCUUUUUGUCUUCUCGACUGAGGUACACCUCUGCUGCGUCGAAUGACCAGUUAAAGCAUUGGUGAUUAGG
rnacentral:sRNA from 1 species